UACGUUGGGGGCAAGCGUUGUCCGGAAUUAUUGGGCGUAAAGAGCUCGUAGGCGGUUUGUCGCGUCUGCUGUGAAAACCCGAGGCUCAACCUCGGGCCUGCAGUGGGUACGGGCAGACUAGAGUGCGGUAGGGGAGAUUGGAAUUCCUGGUGUAGCGGUGGAAUGCGCAGAUAUCAGGAGGAACACCGAUGGCGAAGGCAGAUCUCUGGGCCGUAACUGACGCUGAGGAGCGAAAGCAUGGGGAGCGAACAGG
rnacentral:rRNA from 1 species